UACGUAGGGCGCAAGCGUUGUCCGGAAUUAUUGGGCGUAAAGAGCUCGUAGGCGGCUCAGUAAGUCAGGUGUGAAACCUCCAGGCUCAACCUGGAGACGCCACCUGAUACUGCUGUGGCUAGAGUCCGGUAGGGGAGCGUGGAAUUCCUGGUGUAGCGGUGAAAUGCGCAGAUAUCAGGAGGAACACCAGCGGCGAAGGCGGCGCUCUGGGCCGGAACUGACGCUGAGGAGCGAAAGCCGUGGGUAGCAAACAGG
rnacentral:rRNA from 1 species